GUCACAUACCUCUAAGUCCAGCCUCAGAAUGUAAAAAUAUCAUAUGAUAAUAUUAUUUAACACGAUGUUGCUUUGGCUGAUAAACGCUAUGAUAAUCCCACUUGCAUCAAGAAAGCUUAUCACUUUGUUUUCAUCUCUUAAAAUACUAGCUAGUUGGUUGUGGUGAAAUAAAUAUAUUUGAAUUCUAGCAACUUGUAUAUAAUCUUAAAAGGCAAUUUCGAAUCGAAAGGAUUGAGAAUUUUUUGCAAUAAUAGAUGGUUUGAACAAGAAAAGAGUGUUAUUAGGUGCUCAUACAUAUUGUUUUCACAUUUAGGUAGGUUGCAAGUUCAUACAGCGACCUUCAUUGAAGAAUUCUGCAUAUUCAGCCAAAUUCUGCAAAAGCUGCCAAAGUUGUUGAAGGUUGCUGUUUGAUACAGCGACCUUCUGAAAGUCGCUGUAUCAAACUGCAACCUUAUGGAAAGUUGCUGUUUCAUGUUACAACUUUAUUCAAGGUCGCUGUUUGAUACUACUAGCUUAUUGAAGGUUGCUGUUUCAUACUAUAAGCUUAUUGAAGGUUGCUGUUUCAUACUACAAGCUUAUUGAAGGUUGCUGUUUCAUACUACAAGCUUAAUAAAGAUCGCAGAAUGGUGUCACAAUAUUGAAGAAGGUUGCUGUUUCAUAUAACAAUGAGUAACCCCACAUUGGCGGUAUGGUGUUGUAGUGAACUGUACCGAUAUAUUUGAUACGGCAUCCGAUAUCCACUUUUCUAGAUAUUUGAUGUUGCGUUUUCGAAACCGGAAUCAUACCGAUCUCAGUCCUAGUUUUAAAGAUGUUUUUGGCAUUUUACUAAGGGUGGAAGAAGUGCUCUUCAAAGGGGGAGUGGUAAACUUUUUCCGUAGCCAAUAAUGUCAUGCCAUAUCAACUCUCCACUCCACUCCCAAUUUUACACUCAAUCGCUAGGGGUGCUCAAACAUAUGGAGAGUGGUAAACAAUUUAAAAAAAAAUAAAAAAAAUAAGUGAUUAGUUGAAAGGGGUUAGGACCCACCAUUAACACCCCCUCUCUCUUCUCUUCCCGUGGCAACAAUUCGUGUUUGUUAAAAAAAUAUUAUGUUGAAAUUUAAAUUGUGUCUCUUAUGUUGUGCAUCUCUUAUGUGUAGUUGGGUUAUAAAACAUAACAUUUC
rnacentral:lncRNA from 1 species